rnacentral:sRNA from 1 species
ACCUUCUCUCUGCUGCUGUAGCUGCCAUGGGCAAAAGAGACCGAGCGGACCGCGACAAGAAGAAAUCCAGGAAGCGGCACUAUGAGGAUGAAGAGGAUGAUGAAGAGGACGCCCCGGGGAACGACCCUCAGGAAGCGGUUCCUUCGGCGGCGGGGAAGCAGGUGGAUGAGUCAGGCACCAAAGUGGAUGAAUAUGGAGCCAAGGACUACAGGCUGCAAAUGCCGCUGAAGGACGACCACACCUCCAGGCCCCUCUGGGUGCUGUCAGCGUUGGGCUGCAAACCAGUGACAUCACCGAGUACCUCAGGAAGCUCAGCAAGACUGGAGUCCCUGAUGGAAUUAUGCAGUUUAUUAAGUUGUGUACUGUCAGCUAUGGAAAAGUCAAGCUGGUCUUGAAGCACAACAGAUACUUCGUUGAAAGUUCCCACCCUGAUGUAAUCCAGCAUCUUCUCCAGGACCCCGUGAUCCGAGAAUGCCGCUUAAGAAACUCUGAAGGGGAGGCCACUGAGCUCAUCACAGAGACUUUCACAAGCAAAUCUGCCGUAUGUGGACUCCUGGGCCACCCUUGGGUGGGGGCAGGCAUUUAGGAUUUCAGUUCUCUCAGGUGUCUUUAACCCAGCACUUACAACCUAGCAGCCCUGCUGGUUCUACCCUUUACAACUUCACCCAUUGCUUGAUAACAGCAGAAUUAAAUGUUGUGUGCACGUUCAGCACCUACCUCUCUCACAGAUUUCUAAGACUGCUGAAAGCAGUGGUGGGCCCUCCACUUCCCGAGUGACAGAUCCACAGGGUAAAUCUGACAUCCCCAUGGACCUGUUUGACUUCUAUGAGCAAAUGGACAAGGAUGAAGAAGAAGAAGAAGAGACACAGACAGUGUCUUUUGAAGUCAAGCAGGAAAUGAUUGAGGAACUCCAGAAACGUUGCAUCCACCUGGAGUACCCUCUGUUGGCAGAAUAUGACUUCCGGAAUGAUUCUGUCAACCCUGAUAUCAACAUUGACCUAAAGCCCACAGCUGUCCUCAGACCCUAUCAGGAGAAGAGCUUGCGAAAGAUGUUUGGAAACGGGCGUGCACGUUCGGGGGUCAUUGUUCUUCCCUGCGGUGCUGGAAAGUCGCUGGUUGGUGUGACUGCUGCAUGCACUGUCAGAAAACGCUGUCUGGUGCUGGGCAACUCAGCUGUUUCUGUGGAGCAGUGGAAAGCCCAGUUCAAGAUGUGGUCCACCAUUGACGACAGCCAGAUCUGCCGGUUCACCUCCGAUGCCAAGGACAAGCCCAUCGGCUGCUCCGUUGCCAUUAGCACCUACUCCAUGCUGGGCCACACCACCAAAAGGUCCUGGGAGGCCGAGCGAGUCAUGGAGUGGCUCAAGACC